GAUGGACUGGGAUGGACUGGGACAGACUGGGAUGGACUGGGACAGACUGGGAGAGAUGGGAAUGGACUGGGAGGGACUGAGAUGGACUGGGAUGGACUGAGAUGGACUGGGAUGGACUGGGAUGGACUGGGAGAGAUGGGAAUGGACUGGGAUGGACUGGGAUGGACUGGGAAUGGACUGGGAGGGACUGGGAGAGAUUGGGAUGGACUGGGAUGGACUGGGAAUGGACUGGGAUGGACUGGGAGGGACUGGGUUAUACUGGGAUGGACUGGGAUGGACUGGGAGGGACUGGGAGCACUGGGAGGGACUGGGUUAUACUGGGAUGGACUGGGAGGGACUGGGAGGGACUGGGAGCACUGGGAGGGACUGGGUUAUACUGGGAUGGACUGGGAGGGACUGGGAGGGACUGGGAGCACUGGGAGGGUCGGUGCUGUCCCCCCCCCCCCACUUGGGGGUGACUCUGGGACCCCCCAGGACCCCAGAGCCCCCGGCCGCCCCCGUGAGACCCCCCCGGAGGAGCCCCCGGCCCCGGGACCCUCGGGAGGCGCCGGAGGCAGCGGUGAGAGAGACGCGGCCCCCGCUGAGGAUGAGGAGGAGGCGGCCGAAGGCGCCGAGCCCCGCGAGGGCCCCGAGCCCCGCGAGGGCCCCGACACGGCCGAGCUGCGGCGGCGGCGGCUGCAGAGGCUGGGGACCCCCCCCCACUGACCGGGACCCCCCAAAAGUGACCCCAAAUCCCCCCCAGGACCCCCCCAGAACCCCCAAACUGACCGGGACCCCCCAAAAGUGACCCCCAAAUCCCCCCAGGACCCCUGACCGGGACCCCCAAAUCUCCCUCAGGAUCCCCCCCAAACUGACCGGGACCCCCCAAAAGUGACCCCAAAUCCCCCCCAGGACCCCCCACUGACCGGGACCCCCAAAAGUGACCCAGGACCCCCCACUGACCAGGACCCCCCAAACUGACCGGGACCCCCCCCAAAACCCUCCAAACUGAGCAGGACCCCCACCAGAACUGACCCAGGACCCCCCAAACUGAUCUGAGAUCCCCCCCAGGACCCCCCCUCACCUCCCCCCUCCCCAUUUCCCACCCAAAUUCCCGGCUGGAAGCGAUUCCCCAUCCCCUUGGUGACCCCAGCCCCAUUUCCCCAGCCCCUCCCCCCUUUGCCCUCCCUUUUCCCUCUGUUUUUCCUCAUUUUUCCUCAUUUUUCCUCAUUUUUCCCCAUUUUCCCCCAAUUUUUUUCCCAAUUUCCCUCAAAUUUUUCCCCAAUUUCCCCCCAUUUUUCCCUAUUUUCCCCAGUUUCCCUCUAUUUUUCCUAGGUUUCCUCUUUUUUUUUCCCAUUUUUCCCCAAUUUCUCCCCAUUUUUCCCCAUUUCCCCCCAAUUCCCCCUCUCCCCGAGCCAGGGUCGGGUCCUUGUGGUCCCCUUGGGAAUUUUGGGGUCCCCAGAUGGAAUUUGGGGGGAAAUUCCCCCAAUUUUCGCCCCCCUCCCCCGGAUUUGGGUCCUGCCCAUGGGAAUUUCGGGAUUUUCCCGGGAAUUUGGGAAUUUUUGGGUCCCUUCCGUGGAAUUUCGGGGUUCCCCUGGAAUUUUGGGAAUUCUGCCCCCCCCAUUAACAGUAUUAACCCUUCCCUCCCCAGCGGGGACACCCCAAACUCCGCCCCCCAUCCCAAACUGGUCCGUACUGGUUUGUACUGGUGGGGGUUGCGGUUUCUCGCCGACUUUUGCCCAAUUCCGGGCGCUUUUGGCCCAAAUCCCGCCGCGGUUCCGGGCCGGCCGCGCCCCCAGUGCCUCUGGAACCCCAAAUUCUCAGGGAAAAACCAAAACUCCAAAACCCCGCGGCCGGAAUCGACAGAAACGGCGCCUUUUGCACCCAAACGGGGGCUGGGGGGGGGAGUUUUGGGGCAAAAAGGAGCCAAAUUGGGAUUUUCAGCUUUGAGGCGGAUUUUUUUUCUUUUGUCCUUUCAUUUUUUCGGGUUUUAGCCCCAGCUUGAGUGGCUUGAUGAGGAAUUUGGCAAUGAGGAAGCGGCGCCGCUUUGGGGAGUUGAUUUGAACCCUUCCGUGUUGGUUUUUUUUACCCAUUUUGAGCCAAAAUCAUCGUUUCUUUUGGGUCUGUUUGAGGGGUUUUUGGGUGGAUUCCUUCAAACUCGCCUCGUUUUGGGGUGAAGCCACAGGGAGGGGGAGGGAUGGUUCCGGGGGGGCGCUGGACCCCCAAAAUCGCUCCUUUUCCCCCCGAAGCGGUGGCGGAAUUAUUUAAUUUGUAAAUAAUGUACAAAUUUUUACCAGCUCUGGUGUAAAUACAAUAAAAAUUGCAGUAAAGCUCGGCUCCUCCCGCCCGCCCGGGGCGCUCGGCGGCGCCCGCGUCUCUAUGAUCCUCCCUCAGAGUCUCUAUGGUGGCUCAACCACGGAGACACCCGCUUGUACUGGUUUAGAAUGGUUUUGCACCCGCCAAAGCUUCUGCGGUUGGUGCGGCGCUCCCCGUACUGGUUUGUACUGCUUUGUACUGGUUUGUACUGGUUUAUACUGGUGUUUUCUCCCCUGGGCCUCUCCGGUUUCUCCUUCCUAUCUCGAUGGUCAUGGCGGCGGCAGCGGAAGCCGCUCUGGCCGCUCAGGCCCGUCUCUAUGGUUCCCCCGCCGCCGUUACUCCUCUAUGGCGGCGGCGCUCCGGGUCCUCCCGCCCGCCAGGGGGCGCCGCCUCCCCGGGGCCGCUCGGUGCCGCCACAUCCGGGUCCCGCGCGGCGCGAUGGCGGCCGAGGGGCCCGAGGAGGGACCCGGGGGCUCCGCGGGCUCCGGGGAGGCGAUGGACGGGGACGGGGACGGCGGUGAGAGCCCGGGGACGGGCGGGGGGCAGGAACCGGGGGGCUCCGGGUGAGGAGGGGGCUGAGGGGCCGCGAUGGAGGCGAGGGCUGAGGGGGCUCGGGGGCUAUUUGGGGGAAUUGGGGCGGCUGAGGGGGGAUUGGGGUGAGGGAGGGCGAGAUGUGAGGGGGCUCGGUGGGGUGUGAGGGGAUUUUGGGGGGGGGACUGAGGGGAUUCUGGGGGGACUGAGGGGAUUCUGGGGGGACUGAGGGGGAUUUGAGGGGACUGAGGGGAAUUUUGGAGCUCUGAGGAGAUUUCGGGGAUAUUUGAGGGAAUUUUGGGGGUGUUUGAAGGAUUUUGGGGCUCUG
rnacentral:lncRNA from 1 species